rnacentral:rRNA from 1 species
AAACCGUUCAGGGGUAAACCUGAGAAACCCAAAAGAUCGAAUGGGGAGAUUCAUCGUCAGCGGCGUUGGCUUCCAUGCGGCUCGCGAUGCUCGGAGUUUCGGCUUCGUGGCACGCGUCCGCUGUGGUAUGUCCGGCGUCGUCGACGUGCACUUCUCCCCUAGUAGGACGUCGCGACCCGUUGGGUGUCGGCCUACGGCCCGGGUGGGUGACUGUCUCGUCGUUUCGGCGCACGAGAGAAACCCCCGGAUGCCCGGCCGGCUGCCCGGCGGUACUCGCACGGUAUCGGGCCGCACGAACUGCGUCGGGCCCGUCGCAAGCGCGGCCAGUGUUAACCCGGAGUGCGGACCUAGUGCCGUCCCCGGGCCUGACCCGCUGUUGGCUGACGGUGGCCUCGGACUGGCUCUGUCGAAUUGUGAUACCGGUCGGCGACGCUACUGCUUUGGGUACUUUCAGGA